UCCUCCACCUCACAGAUCGUUCCGACCUGCCGCAGCCGCUGCGGCCAUUGAUGCGCAAAAUUAUCUCUUCCUCCCAACUAAACAGGUCAAUUAUUUGCUCGUGGGUCGCCGACCUGAGCUGGUACCAUAUGAGUUAGUUGUGUGAAUCAUUGUACGCCUCCACAAGCCAUCUGUCCACGACAACUCUCCUUGCCUACCUUCUCGUCACCUUCUUCAAUUAGCAGCCGCGAGCAAGCAAUGAAUACAUACAUGCACUUGGUGUGUUCGUGAGCUGGUUUAUCUGCGCCUGCGCGCGAGGGAGAGUAGAAGCUCCGACCUUGCCAAUGGCAAUGCCUUGGGAGAUGGUGGUGUGCAUAGCGGGCAACGUGUGGGUGCUGCUCGACGGCUGGAUCUCCGUCUGCUUCCUGGCCGCGGACGAGGCCGCCCGCCUCCUCCGGUCGGCUACCGAUUGAUCAUUGAUGAUCAGGAUAACCAGAGGAAAUGUUGGUUAAAUACGAAAUAUGUCUGGAGCAUGGUGUUAUUAUGUUAGAGAAACUAUAAAGUACCUUCUCAUUGAGUUGGAGGGAGGAAAAUUGGUGGAGCAAUUCAUAGGCCUGCUACUCUAUAACCUAAAGAUGUUCCUGCCAUUGGAACCAAACUAUAGAAGUGGAACAGUGUGAACUAUGUGCUUUCAUCAAAAUCCAAUGUUGGAGGUACGCUUCAUGAAUGGAGGAUCACAUUGUAAUAUCUCGAGAAGCACCCCAUAGAUGGUGAUUCAAUCCAUGUCUUGAUAUGACAGAACUAGGGCCUUGAAACUUUGCCCAACUAGUAGAGUAGACUUUUAGUUUGUACUUUGUGUUUUGUACCACAUAUAGACAAUUGUUUUGAGUGUUCUUUUAUUUUUCCAGCGGUACCUGAAGGGAUGUUCCUUUUGGAUGUAUGAUUAUGUGACCAAUUGGUUUCCUUUCAAUGAAAUGGAGUCGUGCACCACAGGCAGAACACACCACUAGUGGCGAACGAAAAACAACUAUAAGUAGCGGACGCGAGUGGUGAGUCGAUGCACUUGCGAGCCAUUCAUGUAUAUAUUACCAGUGGUGGAAAUAUAUUCCUACUCGGCACUAGUAUCCUUGCCCAUGCCAAAAUAAUUGUUGUUGUUCUAGCAUUACUUGUUGCCGUGGCAGUGUUUUUUCCUGUGACGAUAACAUUUUGUAGAUGACAUCUCAUCACAUUACAUGACAUAGAUAAAUUGAUGUAUGAACAUUCAAUCA